rnacentral:rRNA from 1 species
AGUCGAACGGUAACAGAGAGAGCUUGCUCUUUGCUGACGAGUGGCGAACGGGUGAGUAACGCGUAUGCAACCUACCUUUAACUGGGAGAUAGCCCCGAGAAAUCGGGAUUAAUACCCCAUAACAUUACGAAAACUCAUGUUUUUGUAAUUAAAGCUUCGGCGGUUAAAGAUGGGCAUGCGGGACAUUAGCUAGUUGGUGAGGUAAUAGCUCACCAAGGCUACGAUGUCUAGGGGGCCUGAGAGGGUUAUCCCCCACACUGGUACUGAGACACGGACCAGACUCCUACGGGAGGCAGCAGUGAGGAAUAUUGCGCAAUGGACGAAAGUCUGACGCAGCCAUGCCGCGUGCAGGAUGACGGCCCUACGGGUUGUAAACUGCUUUUAUAUAGGAAGAAACCCCUUUACGUGUAAAGGGCUGACGGUACUAUACGAAUAAGCACCGGCUAACUCCGUGCCAGCAGCCGCGGUAAUACGGAGGGUGCAAGCGUUAUCCGGAUUCAUUGGGUUUAAAGGGUGCGCAGGCGGUCUAUUAAGUCAGUGGUGAAAGCCUACAGCUCAACUGUAGAACUGCCAUUGAUACUGAUAGACUUGAAUGCGGUUGAAGUGGGUGGAAUGUGUAGUGUAGCGGUGAAAUGCAUAGAUAUUACACAGAACUCCGAUUGCGAAGGCAACUCACUAAACCGUUAUUGACGCUCAGGCACGAAAGCGUGGGGAGCGAACAGGAUUAUAUACCCUGGUAGUCCACGCCGUAAACGAUGAUCACUCGAUAUUGGCGAUAUACUGUCAGUGUC